rnacentral:rRNA from 1 species
UGGGAAGUAUUGCACAAUGGGCGGCAAGCCAUGACUGCAGCCAUGCCGCGCUGUAUGAAGAAGGCCAAUUCGGGGCUUUGGUUAAAGAUACUUUUCAGCGAGGAGGAAGGUGUUGUGGUUAAUAACCGCAGCAAUUGACGUUACUCGCAGAAGAAGCACCGGCUAACUCCGUGCCAGCAGCCGCGGUAAUACGGAGGGUGCAAGCGUUAAUCGGAAUUACUGGGCGUAAAGCGCACGCAGGCGGUCUGUCAAGUCGGAUGUGAAAUCCCCGGGCUCAACCUGGGAACUGCAUCCGAAACUGGCAGGCUAGAGUCUUGUAGA